GACAGAGGGGGCAAGCGUUGCUCGGAAUUACUGGGCGUAAAGGGCGCGUAGGCGGGAUGGCAAGUCGGUCGUGAAAUCCCUCGGCUCAACCGGGGAACGACGCAUGAAACUGGCAAGCUAGAGUACCAAAGAGGGGGGUGGAGUUCCCGGUGUAGCGGUGAAAUGCGUAGAUAUCGGGAGGAACACCUGUGGCGAAGGCGAUCCCCUGGUUGGAUACUGACGCUGAUACGCGAAAGCGUGGGGAGCAAACAGG
rnacentral:rRNA from 1 species